rnacentral:tRNA from 3 species
GGCCUGGUAGCCAAGUGGUAAGGCAAGGGACUGCAAAUCCCUUAUACGCGGGUUCAAUUCCCGCCCAGGCCUCCG